rnacentral:rRNA from 1 species
AGUGAACGCUGGCGGUAGGCCUAACACAUGCAAGUCGAACGGCAGCACAGUAAGAGCUUGCUCUUACGGGUGGCGAGUGGCGGACGGGUGAGGAAUACAUCGGAAUCUACCUUUUCGUGGGGGAUAACGUAGGGAAACUUACGCUAAUACCGCAUACGACCUACGUGUGAAAGCAGGGGAUCUUCGGACCUUGCGCGAUUGAAUGAGCCGAUGUCGGAUUAGCUAGUUGGCGGGGUAAAGGCCCACCAAGGCGACGAUCCGUAGCUGGUCUGAGAGGAUGAUCAGCCACACUGGAACUGAGACACGGUCCAGACUCCUACGGGAGGCAGCAGUGGGGAAUAUUGGACAAUGGGCGCAAGCCUGAUCCAGCCAUACCGCGUGGGUGAAGAAGGCCUUCGGGUUGUAAAGCCCUUUUGUUGGGAAAGAAAAGCAGCAGGUUAAUACCCCGCUGUUCUGACGGUACCCAAAGAAUAAGCACCGGCUAACUUCGUG